rnacentral:RNase_P_RNA from 1 species
AGAGUCGGCCGGACAGUCGCUCCGGCGUCAGCUCGGCCAUUCUGCAAGUGUGGCGGGGCGCGCCGGGGAGGAAAGUCCGGGCUCCAUAGGGCAGGGCGCCAGGUAACCCCUGGGGGGUGUGAGCCUACGGAAAGUGCAACAGAAAGGAUACCGCCCGACCGCUUUUUGUAAGUGGCCGGGUAAGGGUGAAAAGGUGCGGUAAGAGCGCACCGCGCGGCUGGUAACAGUCCGUGGCGAUGGUAAACCCCGUCCGGAGCAAGACCAAAUAGGAAUCCAUUGGCGCGGCCCGCGCUGGAUUCGGGUAGGUUGCUAGAGGUGCGCGGAGACGCGCAUCCCAGAUGAAUGACUGUCCACGACAGAACCCGGCUUACAGGCCGGCUCUGACU